GAGGGUAUAGCUCAGUGGUAGAGCACACGCUUAGCAUGCACAUGAGGUCCUGGGUUCAACCCCCAAUACCUCCA
rnacentral:tRNA from 1 species